rnacentral:lncRNA from 1 species
CGGCGGCGGCGCCCUCCCCCACAACCAACGGCGCGGCGCCCUCUCCCCGAACAACGGCGGCGUGGAGGCGGCUGCGGCCCGGCGGGAGCGGGAGGGGCGGCGGGCCGGACCUCGCCUCCGCCAGAUCUGGCGGCAUGGAAGCGGCUGUGGUCCGGCGAGGGCAGGAGAGGCGGCGGCGUCGUCUCUUUCUCUCUCUCUGUGCAUGGUGGGGAGGUGCGGCAGUGGUGGUGGUGGCGGACGUCAUGGAACGCCGGUCGGGCCUCGCCUCCGCCAGAUCCGGCGGUGUGGAGGCAGCUGCAGCCCGGCGGGGGUGGGAGGGGCGGCGGGCCGGACCUCGCCUCCGCCAGAUUCGGCGGCAUGGAGGCGGCUGCGGUCCGACGGGGGCGGGAGAGGUGGCGGCGUCGUCUCUUUCUCUCUCUCUGUGAAUGGUGUCGGUUCUCCUGGUGAUGCUAACCGAAUAGGACUUGGUAUAACAGAUGGGAGUUUGUUUCCUAUUUUCGUGGAAUCGGACAUAUUCUUUUUUUUUCCCGAUUUUUCUUUUACCGCGUUGAUGAAUCGGAUUCGUUCCGGUUUUUUUUUCACCCGGUUUUUUUGACGGACGAUGGAAGCACCUCUUAUUUUUUAAGUAGUAGUAGAUAUGGGGUGAUGAAGUAAUGCGAAUCAGGAGCGGAGACAGGAAUAACAAUUCUAAUCUUCUACUUUAAUCCAUUAGAAUUGUAGUACUUUAAAACUUCAAAAAACAAAACUAUGUAAAUUAUACAUUAGUUGAGUCUUAGACUUAGAAAAAUCCUGGUUCCACUUGUGCGAAUGCAGUGUACGUGUACACUCAGUAUAGCAUAUCGUAGCAACAUUAUUAGUCUUGGGGAAAAAAAUCAUUAACGUAACAAUUGUAGAGACGCGAUAGUUAGCUAAGGGGCGGAUAUAUAGGAGUAGAGUCUUACUCUUAUGCCCAAAUAUCCAUAGAAAUUAUACUUCAAAAAUUGAAAAAUAAAAGACAAAUUUAUGUAGAUUAUAGUAGUUCAGCCUUACUCUUGAGUACAUUUUGGCUCCGUCACGGGGUUAGCUAGCUACUUUCGUGUUUUAGAAUAUAACAGAUGUAAUACAUUUUAUUACUAUAUGUUUAAUCAGUGUAGAUUGCUAUAUAUUUUAGUUUAAGUAGGCAGAGAAUGAGAGAGAAAAAUAUCCAAGAGCGCGGCGGAGGCAAACAGUGGCGUGACCCCGAUGGAGCGAGCUGCGUUGGAGCCGCGAGCAUCACACGUAAGCUAGAGUACGUGCCAGUUUUGCCAGUUGGCAGCUGGCACUAGCUAGCUAGCUUCCAGCCGCCCGUCUCGGACUCGAUCCGCGUAGGAGUCGAUCGACUCUGUACCUGGACGACGACGUACGUACGUACCUUCGGGAGGGAUACGGAACAAAACGGCGUCGCGUAGCGCUAGUCAAGAUCUAGAAACUUCCGCGCGCGCCGAUCGAUCGACCAACACACAGCAGGUAGGGAGACGACUCUGCUUCGGAACUCCGAUAUUCCACCGAAUAUCGGACGCCCAACUGUUUACACGUCAUUACACCACCUACGUAUGCAGCAUGCAAAAAAAGAAUCAGUCAGUUAAAUGUUCCAGUUAACUAACGAGUGAAACAUCAAGUUAUAUAGGGUGAAACAAAAAAUCAGCAACUGAAACAUUUAAAAAAAUUAUGAAACAUGAUGAAGAUACACGUUAAAACAUAUCGCUAUCACAAAUAAAACAACCAAUGUUAAUGGAUUGAAACAUAUGUUUUUCUUUCAUCAAAAUAUAAUCAUGUGAUAUCUUGUUGUAAAGAUUUAAUUACAAAGAAUACAACGGUGUGAUCGAAUCGUAGAUUGAAUAAUUAGUUUAAGAGAAAAAUCGUUUUGAAACUAGCUAAAAUGCAUGCAUCAUGCAUGUGGUGGAGAGAGAGAGAGGAGAGAGAGUAGUAACAGUUAUUUUGUGAAUUUUGUGAAACACGCUGAAGACACAUAUUGAAACAUGUCCCUAUCACCUAUAAAACAAAAAAGUGUUAAUGGAUUGAAACAUAUGAUUAUUUUUUAUCGAAAUAUAAUCAUGAGACAUCUUGUUGUAAAGAUUUAAUUACAACGAAUACAACGGUGUGAUCGGAUUGUACAUUAGAUAAAUAAUUUAAGAGAAAAUUCGUUUUAAAUAUCGUUAAAGGUGCAUGUUAUAUGGUUAGAGAUGUGUAUAUGUGUCAGAGGAUGCUAUCCGAUUUUUCAACUUGCUUCGGACGUUCGAAGAGAAGCAUUCAGGUAGGUGGCCACGGUUAACGUCGCAGCUAGCUAGCCAAGCGUUGGAUAUCGACGGCGAUAGAUAGAUGCUUCUCACCUUCACCGCGGGGCCAGCCGCAGUCAAAUCCCGCCCCCGCGUAGUCGCGUACUAGUAGUACACGUAUUUGGAGACACUGAGAGCAGGUACAGUAGCAGACUAUAAUCCAUCUAUAAAUAUAUUUUAAAGAGAUAAGAUAAAAGAGAGGAGAACAGCGGGAUACAGAUCUGUAGCCAGCUGUAGCACGGAUUUUAAGACGUACUAUGUGUAUUGUAGGUAGGACCAAAUAUUAAUUGUAUAGUAAGUAACUAUUAUAUAAGAUGAUUUGGAGAUAGUAGUCGGCUAUCCUAUUAAACGGCACGGCGUUUUGCCUGCGUGGGCGGUGGCGCCAGCUUGGCGUUUGGCCGCAUGCAUGCGUACGUUGCUACACCGACCUUGACGCCGCCCGAUACGUACGUAGCGUACGUACGCGCCGUGGACUCUCCACGUACAUCUCGAUCGACUGGCCGGGCCGGGCGUGCGGGUCAAAACCGAUCGAUCGAUCGAUCGGUUGGAGUAAAAACAACCGAUUAACGGCUGGACUAGCUAGCUAGUCCCCAUCGAUUACGCUACUUCGUCAUCGAUCAAUAUUACGGUACCAUAUGCAUGGUCCACUGUACAUUCUGUACACGAUAAAGUCAACAAAUCGCCGGGCCGGUAAUAAGUCCACAAGGCCGCCGAUUGCUUAAUUAGCUUCUCACCAGGUCUGAGCUAGCCGUCUUCUCUGGAGGGGUUAACAAACAAAUUAAUGAGUAAUAAUAUGCUUCUAGACUCAUCUAGUUCAACAGUUUUUUCUUCUGUGUCCCCUUUGAAAUUCAUGACCCUACGCAAAUGAUCUAGGGUCUGUGAUUUAAAACUGAUUACUCACUUGAUUAUUUUAGUGAGAUAAAUGUAAUAAAUAUUUUUAGAAAUAAACUUAAUAAAUAAUUCAGAACAUAUAGUCUAACUAAUACAAUACUCCCUCCGUCCCAAAAAAAAAGACAAACCCUGGUUUCCGUGCCCAACAUUUGACCGUCCGUCUUAUUUGAAAAAAUUAUGAAAAAAAUUAAAAAGACAAGUCACGCAUAGAAUAUUAAUCAUAUUUUAUCAUCUAACAAUAAUGAAAAUAUGAAUUAUAAAAAGAUUUCAUAUAAGACGGACAGUCGAAGUUGGACACGGAAAUCCAGGGUUUGCCUUUUUUUGGGACGGAGGGAGUACAAGAUAGCUUUUUUAAAAAAUAUUUUUUAGAAGCGUAGAGCAAAUAAUCUAGUAUUAAUUUCUAUAAUGAAGUUUGCUUUUUUUUCUUAAAAAAAAAAGAAACCGUGGUCAGAGUUUUCACCUACCACUUUAGUUUGCGUUUAGGAGCAGGACGCCUAGGCAACUUCACACGCAUUAUAUAUGUGUUUGAUUAUAUAGUUGUGCAAUUUAAUUUGUUUCACUACUUCUAAAAAAAAGAACAACUAUAUUCAGCAAGACGAAGACAACAAAAACCCAAAUGGGAACACUAGCGACGUGGUACGUACGCAUCAUGCAAGUCACCGCCCAAAUUGCAUAAACCAAAGUUUAACUAGAGCUAUCACAGCACAAUUUCGUUAAGCAACAUCGCUGGAGACUGGAGAGUACUGUAGUAUGCAAAUUGACUAUUGCCAACGGGGCCAAGGCACCAAAACCGGUCCAUCUAAAAUUCUACUCCUCUUUACUAAAUUAUAAGUAUAUAUUUUUUUAUACGAUAUUCAAUGGUAUAUUUUGAUUAUUAAUUCAUUUUAUAUUGUAUCAUCAGGAUGUAUAAAUUUAGUAUAUAUCACAUGAAAACAUUUUAAAAUACGAAUAAUCAGGGGCGUCCCGGUCAAAUCGGGUUCCCAUAUAAAAUAUUAAAAUGGGGUCCUAGUAGCCUAGUAAAUUUUUUAUAGUAAAAUUUAAAACGGGCGUGGCGAUCAGCCGAUCAUCAGCGAUGAAGUAGAAGCGGAGGCCGGAGGGGAUUGGGGAGAGGAGACGAAGCGGCUGCGGUGUCGGGACUUCGGCGAUACGCGACGACGCUGAUGCCUGGACGGGAGUACGAUGGAAGAUGGAUCGGUUCACCUUCUGCAACGUUUUGGGCCUUGUUUUACUACUAUUUAGACUGCAAAUUAAUAAAAUUAAAGCCUCUAAUAUUAUUAUAUAUGGGACAUACUUAAUAUUUUAGGGGCCCUUAAAAUUUGGGGGCCAUGUUCAGUAGCACAGCCCGCACAGGUCCAAGCACACCCCUGCGAAUAAUAAUAUAACAUACACAAUACUUGAUGUAGAUUUUGGCUUGCUAGCGUAAUUAUUAGUUAAAAGUUACCAAGUUUGGUUUUUCUAAAGAUAAGGUUGUUGUUGUAUAAUUUGAGAUGGAGUGAGUAGUAUGAAGAUGAAGAUAAAGUUGAGGUACGAAAAACAAGAAUGCCAUCAGUAUAAAAUUAAUUGAGUUUUCAUUAUUACAAACUUGGAAAAUAGAUUUAUAUUUUAAAGCGACUUUCGUAUAUAUAGCUUUCGUACCAAACACACCGUUUAGCAGUUUGAAAAACAUGCUAAUAAAAAUUGAGGUAAGGACUAGUAGUAUACUACUAUGUUAAUUAAAGAGAAAAAAGAACAUGGUCUUAACGAGAGGGUAUAAUUAAACAGGUGAAGAAAAUGAGAAGGGAAUUUCAGUAUCUCUCAUCUCGCCUCCAGUGGCAGCAAAAACAACUGGCAACGGGAAAAACAAUGCCGAGAAAAACCGUUACUACCAUGUGCCAGUUGGCCGUUGGCAGUUGCUUCCGGCCGCGGGCGUCUCGGACUGGAUCCACGUAGGCAAACGGCGUCGUGUAGUGGUCGUAGCAAGUCUAGAAACUUCCGCGCGCGCAGGCGCAGGCACAGGCGCAGCCAAAUGGUUGUGUUUUACCGCGGGGGGCCAGGCGCAGUCAAAUCCCCCGCGUAGACGUAGACGUAGACGUAUAUUGGAGUACACUCCCUGAGCUGUCUGCGCGUAUCAGCGUAUAUACGAUCGAGUAAACGGCGCCACACGGCGCGUGCCUGCGUACGUGGGCGGCGGGCGGGGGCGGUGGCACCAGCUAACGUCCUCUUCCAGCUUGGCGUUGGCCGACCUCGAUCCCUGUUCACUGUUGCUAAUGGCUAAGAGCAAGUCUAAUAGUACAGCCUACUACCAGCUCCAAUUCAUCUAUAGCCAAUCUAAUAGCCAAUUCAUACAAUAGUUGUUUACUAUACUAUUAGUAUAUGGCCCCACCUGUUAUACACACAGUGUGUCUUGGAGUCCGUGCUGCAGCUGGCUACAGAUCUGUAGCCUGCUGCUCUUCUCUCUCAUCGUUUAUAUCAUUAAAAUAUGUUUAUAGCCGGCUAAUAGCCUGCUAUUGUACCUGCUCUAAUGCACCACCAUAAAGAGCAAGUUUAAUAGUAUAGCCCACUACUGGUCAUCUAUAACCAAUCUAAUAGCCAAUUGAUACAAUAGUUGCUAUUAAUAUAUGGUCCCACAUAUUAUACAUAUAUUGUGUUUUGGAGUCCGUGCUGCAGCUAGCUACAGAUAUGUAGCCCGCUACUUUUCUCUCUCAUUGUUUAUCACAUUAAAAUAUAUUUAUAGCUAGUUAAUAGUAUGCUACUGUACCUGCUCUAAUUACGUACCUACUUACGCGCCAUCGACUCUCCACUAAAAACAACCGAUUAACGGCUGGACUAGGGCUAGUCCCCAUCAUUUACGCUACCAGUACGUACUUCACAUCCACCGGUAUUAUACGUACGUACCAUAUGCAUGCUCCAUUCUACGUAUAUACGUGCUGUAUAAUAUACCCUCCGUAUUUUAAUGUAUGACGCCGUUGACUUUUUAACCAACGUUUGACCACUCGUCUUAUUCAAAAUUUUUAUGCAAAUAAAAAAAUACUUAUGUCAUGUUUAAAGAACAUUUGAUGAUAAAUCAAGUCACAAUAAAAUAAAUUAUAAUUACAUAAUUUUUUUUAAUAAGACGAAAGGUCAAACGUUUGUUAAAAAGUCAACGGCGUCAUACAUUAAAAUACGGAGGGAGUACUCAACAAAUUAAGGGUGAGCAUCACCAGUAGCUUUCUUAUUCUAUUCCCUAUCCUUAAAUUUAGAAAAUUUUGGUUAAAAGUCGCAUCCAACAGAAUCCCUAGCAUGUCUUCCAAUAAUCCAGAUUCCCAACUCUGGAUAUGUCAUUCCCGCUCAAGGGAGCGAUUUUUUUUCCCAAUCGCUCUCUCGCGCGCGCACAGAGAAAAUUAACAAAAUGAAGGAGGAAGAGAAAAAUUAAUUUUGUCCGUUGGUACUUGGUAGUUAAAGGGAGAGCCUAUUUUUCAUUAUAGGAAAUCAAUUUUAGGCUUUCUCUUGGAGAUAGGUUUUCUCACUUCCUAUAUUCAGUUUUGAAGAUCCAAAAUAUAUAGUUUUAGGAAUUGAUUAUUGGGAUACUCUUGGUGAUGCUCUACUACUCCCUCUGUCCCAAAAUAUAAUACACAACCACUUUUCUCUCAUGUCUCAUAAUAUAAGACGUGCAUACAUGCAUACAUUAACUAUCACUUCUUAAUCAUUUAAAUUUGGUUUAUUUUAAAUCCUUUACCAUCAGACCCCCCCAAUUGGCCUCAUCUUUUCGCUUAUGCUUAUGCUUAUCAGCUAAAAUUUGAAUUUUCAACCUUAAAUUUGGAGUUGAUUUUGGGUUUUUUCAUCGAAGUUUGUUUUUCAGCAUUUGCUUUUAAAUCGCUAAGAACACGUAUAUAAAAGUUUUAUUCACAAAUCAUUUUUCGUUUGUAAAUAUGUCGUUUCGCUUAUUUCGAAACGAUGGGCUCCAUUGCUUGUACUCCCUCCGCUCUCUAAUAUAAGGGAUUUUGACAUUUUGUUUACACUGUUUUACCAUUCAUCUUAUUUAAAAAAUUUAAAAUUAUUUUUUACUUACUUUGUUAUCCAAAGUACUUUAAGCACAACUUUUCGUUGUUUAUAUUUGCACAAAUUUUUUGAAUAAGACGAGUGGUCAAACAGUACAAGCAAAAUGUCUAAAUCCAUUAUAUUAGGGGACGAAGGGAGUAUGUAUGAAUAUGAUUCAAUAAAGAAGGUGAUUAAUUUUUUUCCUUGAUCUUUAUGUUAGGGAUGGUUGAGUCUUAUAUUUUGGGAUGAAAUGAGUAGUACUAGUGAUUAAUCUGCUUCUAGUUAAACAGAUUUCUUCUCUCUCCCCUUGAAAUUCAUGAUCCCUCGCAUGCAUAUGAGGCCUGUUUAAAACUUCUUAUUCGCUAGAUUAUUUUAGUAAAAUAAUAAUACAUAUUUUUAGAAAUAAAUUUAAUAAUUAAUAAAUAAUUUAGAACAUAUGGUCUAAUUAAUACGAUACAUAAAGGUUCUUUACAAAAAUAUUUUUUUUUAGAAACGUGAAGCAAAUAAUCCAUAGCUAUAUUUAUAAAGCUUGCUAAAAAUGGGCCCUCGUUGUCAGAACGUUCAACUACUACUUUAGGUUGCGUUUAUUCCACGCCAAAAUUAGAAGAUUGAAGAAAUUAGAACGAUGUAACGGAAAAGCUGAAAGUUUAUACUUUAGGUUGCGUUUAUUCCACGCCAAAAUUAGAAGAUUGAAGAAAUUGGAACGAUGUAACGAAAAAGUUGAAAGUUUAUGUGUAUAGGAAAGUUCGAUGUGAUAAAAAAGUUAAAAGUUUUUUUAAAAAAAGUUGGAAUAAACAGAGCCUUAGUUUCCGUUUAGGAACAGGACGUCCAGGCAACUUCUCAUGCACAAAUUCUGUUUCCCUACUUCUAUAAAAAAAAAAAAAAACAACCCAUGCAUGAGGGAGUUGACUGCAUUCAGCAAGCCUGGACAACAAAUUAAAUCUAUCUCACCCCAAAUGGGAACACUAGCGACGUGCUACGUACGCAUCAUGCGAGUCACCGCCCAAAUUGCAUAAACCAUAGUUUAAAUAGCACUAUCACAGCACAAUUUCGUUAUGCGACAUCGCUGGAGACGGUAGUAUGCAAAUUGACUAUUGCCUAUAACGGGCCCAAGUCACCAAAAACCGGUCAUUCCAAAGUACUAGGGUGAUGUUGAAUAUAAAGAUAAAGUUAGGAUAUGAAAAAUAAACAAGAAAAGCUGUCACCGCAUCAAUAAUUAAAUUUUGAUUAUUACAGAUUUAAAAAAUAAUUUAUUUAGCAUUAUUUUUAAGCAAUUUCUAUAUAAAAAGAUUUUAUAUGAAAUAUACUAUUUAGCAGUUUUUUUAAUGCCUCUAUUUAGCAGUUUAAAAAACGGAAUAACAAAAAUCAAGAUAAAAUCUGUCUCCUUGUGAGAAAAGAAUGAAGCCUUAACGAGAGCGUAUAAUUAAACAGGUGAAAGAAAAUGAGAAUGGAAUUUCAGCAUCUCACGCAGCUGUCGCCUCGCCUCGAGUGGCAGCAAAAACAACUGGCAAAACGGGAAAAACAAUGCCGAGAAAAACGACCACAAAAAAGCAGCAGCAGCGUCGACGACGACAGCGACCUCCUCGGCGCCCCGUCCAUACGUCAUCCUCGUUUCCUCCCCUUUGACCAUCUUUCUCCUCUGCCCAGCUUUCCUCGUUCCACACCUCAGUUUCUCACUGCCUUCCGUUGGCCACCCUGCAAAGCCCCAAAAUUACAACUUGGUGCUUGGACGUUCAUCUACGGUCACUACAAGAAAAAUACUCUGUAUAGACAUUUUUCUAGUACUGUAGAGGCACUUAUCAAAUGCCUUUACAACAAUGUAGAGGCAUUUUAAAAAAUGUCCAAUAAGUGUCUUAUGGUGAAUUGUCUCUACAAACGAAGAGACAUUUUAUAAAAUGUCUAUAAGAUGGUAGAGGCAUUUUUUAGAGACUAAAUUGUACCGCAAACAUAUAAAACCAGUCAAAAAAGAGAAUAAAAUAGUUUCCUUGCUUUUGAUAAGUCUUGAACUCAUGAUCUUUUGGUUAAAUCAUUUUAAUCUUCGAUACACUAACCAACUCAACUCCAUGUCAUUACUUGUAUAUUUGUUCCUUUAAUUACUUAUAUUUAGUCGUUUAGUACACAUUAUCAUUCUAAAAAGUGUCUCUACAUAGUUUAAAAUGUCUCAACAAAAUGCCUUUACAUAUUAGACGCAUUUUAUAGUGCCGAAAGAAUGCCUCUACAAGAUAAAAUCUAACAAACUGAUAUAAAAAUGUCUCUAGAGUAAAAGUUUUCUAGGCAAUUUUUAAAGUGUCUCUACACUAUAAAACUUCUGAUUGUAGAAGCAAUUUACAAAAUGCCUCUACAAAAGUGCCUCUAUACGAGUUUUUUGUUGUAGUGGGUCCACUGUUUUUUUUUUGUUAUUUUUAGAUUUGUACUAGGUAGCUGUGGUAGCUUUGAGCACUCCAAUUUUUGUUGGAUGUAGUGCAUUGCAAAAUUAAUUUUUUGUCUGUAAUUAGGAGAUCCUAAGAAUUUCAAAGAGAGUGUAUAGCUUUGUGUAGCAUCAAGUUUGGAUAGCCCUUUUUUUUAUUUUGGUGUCAACAAAAAGACAAAAGAAAGCUAUACAAAGCUACUCGCAGCCCAGCACAAAAGAAUUUUAAGUCUGAUAUUUUUUUUAAGAAUAUAAAAGGUUGGCUUGUUUCUUGCUAGUUAUCACGGUCAAAAUAUGUCCACGGAUUUUUCGCUACCGUUUCUUAGAGCUGGCAUGACGACAAAAGAUAUAAAGUGUUCAUACUCAAGCUUUUGGGAGUGCUUCCAUAAUAGAGUUAUUGUAGAUGUAUUUAUGAUUCGAUAUUGUAAUUUGCAUGCAUAUCUUCGAAGGGUAAAUGUUUCAGAUUGUUAGGAACAAAUCUAACAUUAUUUUUAAAGAAAAAAAAUCCCCAAUGAUAGUACAAAAUAAUAUAGGAAGAUGAAUAACUACCAUUAAACUACUUUCAAUGAUAUCCUUUUUCAUUCAAAAGGGUGAUCUGCCGUAUGCUUUCUACAUUUAAUUGGCUAUAUUUCUCAUAGAAGUCCAUUUCCAAGCUAACAUUAAAAUAGCGUGUGGGUGAUAAAUUUCUUUCUUUUUUAAAAAAAGCUAGCAUUGAAAAUAGCGCGUGAGGACGAACUGAGCUGCCAUUUCUGCAUUUCAUUUCCAGGUAGAGUACUUGUACAAUCCAAGGAGCGUUUCGUAAAUUGUUUCCUUAGUCAGGGUGUGAAACGAAAAGGCCACCACUGCCUAUAAUACUAGCCUCCUCCCCCCACAUGGACCCCUCAUCCUCCUCCUCCUCCUCCUCUCCCUUUUCUACUCCAUUCCAUUCCAUCUCCUCCACUUCCACCCUCAGGCCUCAGCUCGCCAUCGCCAUUGUUGCAACACCAAGUGUUUGUGGUCGGAACGAGAUCGAGCAGCAGCCAUCCAUGGUGAGGAAGGAGAUGGGCGGCGGCGGCGGCAGGCUCGCGGCGGAGUACCAGGGCCUGGAGGUGAAGGUACCCACGUUCUUCCGGUGCCCCAUCUCCCUCGACGUCAUGCGCUCGCCGGUGAGCCUCUGCACCGGCGUCACCUACGACCGCGCCUCCAUCCAGCGCUGGAUCGACUCCGGCAACACCACCUGCCCCGCCACCAUGCUCCCGCUCCCCUCCACCGACCUCGUCCCCAACCUCACCCUCCGCCGCCUCAUCGCGCUCUGGGCCUCCACGGCCGCGCCGUCGUCGCCGGCGGCGCCAUCGGCUGUUGGCCCCACCCCGG